rnacentral:rRNA from 1 species
GCGGUAAUUCCAGCUCCAAUAGCGUAUAUUAAAGUCGUUGCAGUUAAAAAGCUCGUAGUUGAACUUCAGACUUGGCCGGGCGGUCUGCCUCACGGUUUGUACUGUCCGGCCGAGCCUUACCUCUUGGUGAGCCGGCAUGUCCUUUACUGGGUGUGUC